rnacentral:lncRNA from 1 species
GCAAACCUGUACAAUUUUACAAAAGAAUAAUCCCUGGAAAGGUAUGUAAUCUCAACAGACCAACACUUGUCAGAACAAAAAAAGGUAUGAAAUCUCAACAAACCAACACUUGCCAGAACAAAAAAAGGUAUGAAAUCUCAACAAACCAACACUUGCCAGAACAAAAAAAGGUAUGAAAUCUCAACAAACAACACUUGGUCAAAAAUAUUUACAACUCACUGAGUCUCAAACUCUUUCUUCAACCAACAACAAAGCUUCAAGUUGCUCUCUACGCUGCUCCAACUCCUGCAAUUGACAAGACUAGGGAUUUAUGGUGCUAUUCCG